rnacentral:rRNA from 1 species
GAUGAACGCUAGCGGCAUGCCUUACACAUGCAAGUCGAACGGCAGCGGGGGAGAAGCUUGCUUUUCCUGCCGGCGAGUGGCGAACGGGUGAGUAAUACAUCGGAACGUGCCCUGUAGUGGGGGAUAACUAGUCGAAAGAUUAGCUAAUACCGCAUACGACCUGAGGGUGAAAGUGGGGGACCGCAAGGCCUCAUGCUAUAGGAGCGGCCGAUGUCUGAUUAGCUAGUUGGUGGGGUAAAGGCCUACCAAGGCGACGAUCAGUAGCUGGUCUGAGAGGACGAUCAGCCACACUGGGACUGAGACACGGCCCAGACUCCUACGGGAGGCAGCAGUGGGGAAUUUUGGACAAUGGGCGAAAGCCUGAUCCAGCAAUGCCGCGUGUGUGAAGAAGGCCUUCGGGUUGUAAAGCACUUUUGUCCGGAAAGAAAUGGCUCUGGUUAAUACCUGGGGUCGAUGACGGUACCGGAAGAAUAAGGACCGGCUAACUACGUGCCAGCAGCCGCCGUAA